rnacentral:lncRNA from 1 species
AAUUUUGUUGGGAACUUCGAAGGAAGAUCUGUCCAUGUGAAUGAUUUUUCUACAUAUGUCCAGAACUCUGCAGAAACAAAAGGGACAUGAUGGAUUAAAAUGAAAGGGAUAAUAAUAAAGUUGGUACAUUUUAAUUGACUAAAUGUGUAAACAGAAACGGGUGUAAUGUUCCGCACAAGAAUUUUUUACAAAUUACAAAAAUAAUUGUUACUUGGAGCAUGUUAUCAUGAAACAAAUAUCAGAGAUACGAAAAAAAUGCAUAUCAAAUCCAUUAAGAAUAAUUGAUUAUAUAUGUAAGACAGGAUAGAUGGAUAGACAGAGGAGAUGGAAGAUCAAGGAACCACUAAUAGCUUUCCUGAAAACAUUGAAACAAUGGUAUCAUUCGAUCCAUGCAGUCAACUCCACCUAGUGGAAAAAGGAUCUUUUUUUUUCUUAUUCCUUCAUUUACGUUAUAACUGAUGAAAAGAUUGUUUCACUCUUCCCUCUUACCAAUCUAGUAUCAACCAUUACUUCAGUUUAUGUUUCACUCUGCCAUCUUUA